ACCUCCCUCUCACUCUCAGUUUCAGUCGCCGCCUCUCUCUCACCCUCUACCUCUAUCGUCUCUCUCCCGACCUCACCCUCACCCUCACCGUCAUCGACCUCUCUCUCUCGUCUCGCCUCGUCUCUCUCCCUCUCAUGUCGAUGGUGGAACUGUGUUAAUCUAUGGAAGGUUUUGAAAUUUUGGCUUCAAUGGAGUGCCUUCGAGAAACGCUCCCUUAAAUAAUUCUCCCUUAUACACGUGAAUAUGUUUGGUAAGUGAUAAUAUGCCAUUAGUAUCAUUUGUUCAAACCUGCAGCUCCUUUAUUUGUAUUUUUUUGUCAUGGGUUGUAAAAUAUAAUUUGCUGCUUUACUUGUAUUUUUUGUCAUGGGAUGUAAAAUAUAAUUUGGUGCUUUGCUUGUAUUUUUUGUCAUGGGAUGUAAUAACCAACUAAUUUGAUAGUUGGAUGAUGCUUGUGAUUGUGAUUCAGUUUAGAAACUUAAAAAAAAACAGGUUAUAGAAGGUUGAAUUUAUA